GUGAGUCAUCGAAUCUUUGAACGCACCUUGCGCCCUCUGGUAUUCCGGAGGGCAUGCCUGUUUGAGUGUCAUGAAACUCUCAACCCCUCGGGUUUUACGACCCGAUCGGUUGGAUUUGGGUCGCUGCCGCUUUGUUGCCGGCUCGCCUCAAAGGUCUUAGCGGGAACAGUCGUACCCAAUGUCUGGCGUAAUAAGUUUCGCCUUUCUCGUGGUCGACGACGUCUGCUCACAACCCCCAUCUCUUUCGUAUCUGACCUCAAAUCAGGUAGGGCUACCCGCUGAACUUAAGCAUAUCAAUAAGCGGAGG
rnacentral:rRNA from 1 species